UUGUUCUUUUCUUGAAAGAGUUUUGGGAAAACUAUAAAAGAAUGAAAUUCCGCUCUACAGAUCAAGAGUUCAUCUGCUAAAUACAAUCUGUUUCUUACUCUCUGAAAUUUGUUCUCAAAGAACUUUUUAUUGACAAUGAAAUCCAUCAGUGCAAUCGUUUUCAUCUGCGCUUUGGCUUUGGCAACAGCCCAAUUGGGUCCAAUUAUUCCAGUUGGAUAUUCUACUCCUACUGCAUCCUACAGUCUUGGUGUUCCCUAUGCUUACGCCUACGCUCCUGCUGCAUCCAGUAGUUACGUUCAAUAUGUUCCUGCUCCAGUUGCCGUUGCUGCUGUUCCUGCUGCUGUCGGAUACACUCUCUUGAAGAAGUAAAUAACAACGCACCGUCCAAUCGAAAAUGAUUCUUCUAUUUCCAGAGUUUUAAACAAUAGAUAUCCGAUAUCCUAACAAUAAAUAUCCUAAGGUUGGAGUUCAAGUUAAUUUCGAUGAAAGGCAUUGGAUAGAAGCCGGUAUAACACGAGUAUGAAAUUGUUCAAUAUGUUAUUGAUCCAAUAACAAUAUAUUAGAAAAUUUCAUUGUUUAAGCAUUAGUUCAUUAUUUAUAUACUUUAUGAGAUUUGCAUUUUCUUGUUUCCUAUUUAAAAUAAAAUUCAUAUUUUAACAA